GGUAAAAUGGCUGAGAAUUUAGGCGUUAAAUUGUAAAUUUAUUUACGGAAAAUUUUUCCUUUUACUA
rnacentral:tRNA from 1 species